UAUAUUUAUAUGCUUUACUAGUUUAUUUAGUAGAUAGGAAUUAAUUUGCUUAGUAAGUUCUCUUAUAAUCUAAUACAUGUUGUCUCUCUUCAUUUCAGGUAUUGGAGGUUCAAUGGAUAGGAAAAUGAUCGUUGCUACCAUCGCCACCAGCACCUCACGCUUAGCUGAUUACAGGGAAGUUCUCUUAUACUUAUCGCUAUAUUCUUACAAUGAGGACAUUGUAAUUGCUAAGUUUGGGGGAGUUUAGUUUAGUUCAUUAUUGCAUGUUUAGUUUCAUGUUUAUGUUAUGUUAUUUUGCAUAUGUUGUUAAUAUAGUUUAGGUUC
rnacentral:lncRNA from 1 species